UAUAGGCUCAAUGAUUAUAUAGCAAAAUUUAUGCAGUAAAACUUCAAUCUUGCCAGUAAUGACAGUGGACAAAAGUGGUACAUUCUAUACAUUAUCUAAGCAGUGGGUUAAUUAGAUUAGAUCUUUAUUUGAGGUUGUAGUGCAUUUUAAACAGAAGUUCCAAAUUUACAUGCACUGUUGUUGGAUGUUCCACCUGAGGUCAAGUGGUUUAAUAUGACUGACUUAUGUUCUGCAUCUUUCAGAGUGUCGCUGUUUUCAUGUGUUUAAUAAAUUUAGCAGGAUUGCAUGACGAAACUGGCAGGUAAGAUCUCAUGUACUGUUCUCCAGUACAUUGAGGAAAUGAUGUACUGGACUAUGAGACGUGUUACCAGGACUUCAUGACUCUUUGAUUGUUUGCUUCAUGACUUUUUAACAAUGUUAGCUGAAUAGGGACAAAGUUUCACUGCAUAAAUUACUGUACUGUAAGGAACAGGUGAAAUAUAUGGACAGCUGGUCAGAGGAGGGACAAGUGGUGUCCUCUUACAGUUAAAGACAGUAAAGUAGCUGGGGCUCCUGGUACUCUUUCUUUUAUUAUUAUUAUUAUUUUUAUUAUAUUACACAUAUUGCUGGCUUGGGAAGACAGCAGGAGGUUAGUAUAAGCGGCCAUGACCCAUGUCUGCAGCCACAGUAUAGGCGGCUGGCCCAGAAUGCAAGCCCAUAGAUGCAGUCGUCCGCACAGUUACAGCAUGCUUUCAGUUGAAAUGGUGUGUCUAUACCACAUAGAGAGAUGUUUUGGUAAGACAUGCUUGCUUUUAUUGAAAGGGGGGGUGAGGGGGGAAUCCUCAGACUUCUGUUUCUUCUUUAAAUCAUUCAUUAAAUCACUGAAAUAUUCCAUGCAGCCUGCAGUGUCACUUAUCAGUCCUUUUUGUAUUUUUGCAUUACAGAUAGAACAAGAUUUCAGACACCUUUUUGAUGAGGUCACUGCCAACAAAGUCUUGGAGAAGUGGCCCACCAAUAUCAAAGCAAAAGUUUUAAAGGAAAGCCAUGGACUGGUACCCACCACAGUGCUCUUGGAAUUAAUGUGCAAUGCUGAGUCAGCUGCUGAAGUUGAGAAUGGCUGGGACAGUGACAUGCCUGCUAUCUUGCUGCUGCUUCAUCUGCUACCACCAUCUGUGCAAGAACGAAAGAGACCAGGAAAGAUAUCUGUAUCUCAAGCUGUCGACAACCUCAUCAAAUUUAUAAAGGUAUAUUAAAAAGGCCCAUUGUGUGUGAAACUAUCUUACCAUUUGUUUGUGCUCAAUACAACCGGUCUAGGCAGAUGGCCGCCCACCAAGAGCAUGGUUCUGCCGAAGGUUUCUUCCAUUAAAGCGAGUUGUACCUUCCCAAUAUUGCCGAGAGCUUGCUAAUGGUGGAUUUUUGUUUGUGUUUUCCUUGUGUUUCAAAUGUUCAUUGUGAGCAGCUUGCGGAUCCGGUGGCACGCGGGCACUGUUUCAAGGUUCUGUACUGUAUUAGUUGCAUUUGCCUUCUGUGAAACAUUUUAUGGUUCCUGCUUUAGGAAGGUGCUCCAGUAUCUAAGCGAACCUUUUAGGAUUUAAGCUACUUAGAGUUAAAGUUGAGAACUGAAACAGCAGGUUACACUCACAGCAAAGAAAGCUCAAGAGAUCUGUACUUGUAUGGCUUUAUAUUGUGAAGAUCAGGUUGAGUGUUGUUACACCAUGGGAGUGAAAACAGUGUGGUAAGGUGGGGACAUUUUGGCCAGUCCUCACUUUCCUACACACCUUUGGCUUGAGGCUGUUUCAGGGUUAAACCUAGGAUUUUGGGGUUAGGGUCAGGCAGUAAGUUGUUGCUAGGGAACGCAUGAUGUCAUUGGCUUCAGUGUCCUUUGAUGUGUGCACGAAUGUCAUGUCAUCAUAACAGGGGUAGAUAGGUGAAGACAGCCAGAGAAUACUCAGGACUGAAACAGUAGAACACAUAGCUUGGACUGGAGAGGACGAGUUGAUCGUUUAGGAAAAAGCAAUGACUCUGAAAGUGCUGCAGGAUUUUUGUAGAAGGAAGAGAGGAGCAUCUGCAGAGGAAAAAACUGGAAGAUUCAAGUCACUUGUAAAGUCUCCAGUAAGUCAAGUAUUAGUUCAUACUAAUGUUCAGUUGAGUAGUUAAUUUCUUGGGACUUUGUUUAGCUGAUAUGUUUGUUUCACAUGUUGAUUUUAGCUCAAAUAGUUUUAGAUUUCACUGACUAGAAGCUAAAUCAAAUUCAGGUGCCAAAAUUAACACUGAUAAGAUAAUGGAUUAGGGCUGCAUUAAGGGAAAAAUGAGAGGAGGAAGUGUUUUUUAAUUUGGUUGAGAUCAUUUUGAAAGUUGGACUUGAUUCACAACAUGCAAAUGAGAAAAACUCUUCCUCCCCUCAUUUUUGUUGCGUAAAACUACAGAAAGCAAAAGCAGUCAAAUAUUUUUUAGUAAAAACAUCCCUGCAAAAUGAUCUUAAAGGAGAAAGUUGCUGUUGAGAGCUAGUUCAGAUGUAGCAACACCUGACCUUGUUUUAUAACAUUUCAAAUGAGUUUUACAACAGCAUGUGUCUUGUACAUGAUAGAAAAACUUUAGUUGGUUAAAUGCAUUUCGUGAUGUGGCCAUACAAAAUGGCUUCAAGGAUGUGUCACGGCCUUGUGGGCCCCUUGCGGUUCUGGCGGCACCUUGAGGGGGAGCACAUGAGGGCAUAGACAGCCUUUAGCUGUCAGCCCCAUUGUGUGUGAAACUAUCUUACCAUUUGUUUGUGCUCAAUACAACCGGUCUAGGCAGAUGGCCGCCCACCAAGAGCAUGGUUCUGCCGAAGGUUUCUUCCAUUAAAGGGAGUUGUACCUUCCCAAUAUUGCCGAGAGCUUGCUAAUGGUGGAUUUUUGUUUGUGUUUUCCUUGUGUUUCAAAUGUUCAUUGUGAGCAGCUUGCGGAUCCGGUGGCACGCGGGCACUGUUUCAAGGUUCUGUACUGUAUUAGUUGCAUUUGCCUUCUGUGAAACAUUUUAUGGUUCCUGCUUUAGGAAGGUGCUCCAGUAUCUAAGCGAACCUUUUAGGAUUUAAGCUACUUAGAGUUAAAGUUGAGAACUGAAACAGCAGGUUACACUCACAGCAAAGAAAGCUCAAGAGAUCUGUACUUGUAUGGCUUUAUAUUGUGAAGAUCAGGUUGAGUGUUGUUACACCAUGGGAGUGAAAACAGUGUGGUAAGGUGGGGACAUUUUGGCCAGUCCUCACUUUCCUACACACCUUUGGCUUGAGGCUGUUUCAGGGUUAAACCUAGGAUUUUGGGGUUAGGGUCAGGCAGUAAGUUGUUGCUAGGGAACGCAUGAUGUCAUUGGCUUCAGUGUCCUUUGAUGUGUGCACGAAUGUCAUGUCAUCAUAACAGGGGUAGAUAGGUGAAGACAGCCAGAGAAUACUCAGGACUGAAACAGUAGAACACAUAGCUUGGACUGGAGAGGACGAGUUGAUCGUUUAGGAAAAAGCAAUGACUCUGAAAGUGCUGCAGGAUUUUUGUAGAAGGAAGAGAGGAGCAUCUGCAGAGGAAAAAACUGGAAGAUUCAAGUCACUUGUAAAGUCUCCAGUAAGUCAAGUAUUAGUUCAUACUAAUGUUCAGUUGAGUAGUUAAUUUCUUGGGACUUUGUUUAGCUGAUAUGUUUGUUUCACAUGUUGAUUUUAGCUCAAAUAGUUUUAGAUUUCACUGACUAGAAGCUAAAUCAAAUUCAGGUGCCAAAAUUAACACUGAUAAGAUAAUGGAUUAGGGCUGCAUUAAGGGAAAAAUGAGAGGAGGAAGUGUUUUUUAAUUUGGUUGAGAUCAUUUUGAAAGUUGGACUUGAUUCACAACAUGCAAAUGAGAAAAACUCUUCCUCCCCUCAUUUUUGUUGCGUAAAACUACAGAAAGCAAAAGCAGUCAAAUA